UCCAAGUAGCUGACUCCCAUCUUUGGAGCAGUUAUUCCCCACCCUUAGCCCUAACCUUCCUUCAAGCCAUUUAUCAUUUGUGUGUGAAUGUGAGGCCUUAUUCCGAUUGAGCUUGGUAUAAAGUGUUAGGUCUGUAACGACAAGGAUAGUAUCUCAUGUAGUUCUGGUUCACGUUAUCUGGACCAGAUAGUACUAUGUAGGUGCUUAAUUCUGGGUUUGGGUUGUGUUUAAAAGAAAGAAAAGGUUGUGUUCAUCAUUGAAAGAAAAGAAAAGGGAAAAGAGUUCUUAGGAGAAGUAGCUAAAGUAAGAAAAGUCUAGUAAAGGAUUUGGGAAUGUUAAAGUAAAGAAAAGGGUUCUGUAAUAACUUAAAGAGAAAGAGUAAAAAGCCUUAUGUUAUAAAAGAAAGAAAAGGAAACCCUAGUUGGUAAAGAAAUCCUAAUCCGCUAGACAGAGCAAAGUAAGAAAGCUUCUCCUAGGACAGAAAAGCAAAGAAAAGAAAGGAAUGGUGUGAGUAAAAGUCUGUAAAUGCUUUGAGUGCAAAAGGGUAGAGUUAAGUUCAUGAUUCUAGGAUUAGAAAUAGGACCUCCAUUUGGGUUUAUAUUGAUUACAUUCUGGGUAGAUGGGGUUCUAUCCUUGUAUGCAUAACUUGAUACUCACCUUUAGCAUUCUACUAAAGUUCAAUCAUUCUUGAGAGAUCCCCUGUUACAAUUUAAACCAGAUCUUUAAGGGACCAUCUUUGUCUCUAGACCUCUACCCUUAAGCCAAAUGAGUUCAUAUCCAUUGCAUUGUAUGAUCCACGGUUCUCACUUAAUCAAUGUUAAAGGGAAUGUGCUGAUGUGAAUGCUUGAAUUGAUUAAGGCAGAAGUUAGGUUGAGAUGUGAAGGAGAUGGCUAAAGUUUUAAAGUAGAGAUCAGUCAACCUUGCAUUCUAGAAUUAGCAACCUGGACAUUGAAUUCACUUACUUUAUAUGCAUGUUUUGGUUCUGAGUCUCCACUUUCAAACCUCUCCUCCAGCUUGAUCUUUACUGUUUGCUUGAGGGCAAGCAAAGAAUAAGUUUGGGGGAGUUGAUAUGUCUAUAUUUUACUAUUUUUUACCAUGCAUUUACAUCUCAUUUAGUCAAGUUUCUUCCUUGUUUCAUUCCUGUAACACCUAGUUUGCAUCACUUAUCUACACUUUGAGCAUUUAGGAUCGUUCUACAUCUAUGUUGCAUACAUUCUUGCAUUUUGGCGUUGUAUCAGGUGUUUUUAGGUACUGAAGAGCUGCGUAGGAGUAUGUACUCGAAUUCAUGCUCGAGAAGCACCUGAGAUCCUUGUCCGAGUAGAAGCGUUGAAGCACAAGUCUUCAGCGUUUAACCAGACCACUCGACCAAGACACUCGGACUGCCUACUCGAGUACCUACUCGAGUUCACUUGAUAGCAUCACCAGAGCAGACUGCAUGAAGAAUGGGAAAACCUACUCGAGUACCUACUCGAGUAUCUACUCGAGUUCACCUGAGAGCUUCACUCCAGCAAGAUGCAAACUUUGAAGAAUAGACUACUCGACCAACACCACUCGAGUCCGUGUUCGAGUAGGCCUUAAACCGACUUUCUAUUUUGUCGUUUUGUGUAUUAAGGUUUUCUACUUUUGCUAUAAAUAGACCUCUUAGGGCUUUGCCCAAAGGAUCUCGCUUUUA
rnacentral:lncRNA from 1 species